AUCGUCCUGAUUUUAAAAUCAAUUCCUGCCAGAAGAAGAAAGAAAGAAAUACUAAAUUUCUCCAAAUAUAAUCCAAGUCUUAUUAGGAAAAGGACAAAGAUUUCUAUUGAAAAAAAAAAGCUCUCCAACGCACUGGAAAAUGUGAACACAGAGAGGGUGUGAAUGAGCACAGGGAGGUUGCCCUGAUUUUGUGCUGCAGUAUGGAAAAAGUAUGAAGAAGGACCACUUCUGGCUUUCACAACUCUGGAACAAGCCAGUUGUCCCGACCUUCAGACUCGCUGUGAUCUGGGUGCAUUUUUGCCCUGUGGCAUCAGUGGACCCCCUUCUAAAAAUCCAUGCUACUGUGCUCUGAGGAAACCACAUCAAUAUUUUUUGCCAGUUGCCCAGACCCAUCUUUGAAAUGCUACAUCACUGUAGAGCACUAGCAAGACCAGCACAUUCAAUCUGAUUCUGUAAAUGUUUAUUGAAGCGUUUGGUAAGGUUAACGUGUACACAGCAGCUGGACUUACAGAAAUCUAGAUGUUCAAGGAGUUUACCUCUGUGGUUUUUGUCAGGCCGGCACUCUUUCUGCCUGCUUUUGGGAAGCUGCUCUCCUCCCAGUCAUGGCUGUGAGUCAUGGUUCUUUACUCCUCCAGCCAUAGAGGUGGACAUGACCAGGCUAGGUCAAUCUGAGCUUUUCCCUGCUAAUUUUCUAAUGAGGUGGGGUAAUGAUGCUGAAAGGAGGUCUGAAUGGUGGGAGGUCUGGGUGAGCUUCAGGCUGGUUUGGAUCAGAACUUUAGUUCAUUUUCCUGUAAUCUCUUUUGCUGCCCUCCUCUAUAUGUUUAUUUUGUCCUCAAGCUGGCUUUCCUCUGCCAUGUUGCACAAUGUCAAGUGCAAUAUUCACUUCUUACAGUUUAUUCAUUUGGGGCUCAAAGACCCCCCAAGAAUCUACACAUAUUCUUGAGGGUCUGUGUGUUCUCUAGGCAAAUCUUCAAACUCAU